rnacentral:rRNA from 1 species
GGCGUGCUUAACACAUGCAAGUCGAACGAGAAACUUUAGCUUGCUAGAGAAAGUAAAGUGGCGCACGGGUGAGUAACGCGUGGGUAAUCUGCCUCGGAAUCGGGGAUAACAUUGCGAAAGCGAUGCUAAUACCGGAUAAAAUCUGGUUGGCUUAGGUGAACCGGAUCAAAGGUGGUCUCUUUAUAAAAGCUACCGUUUGGAGAUGAGCUCGCGUACCAUUAGCUAGUUGGUGAGGUAAAGGCUCACCAAGGCGACGAUGGUUAGCUGGUCUGAGAGGAUGAUCAGCCACACCGGAACUGGAACACGGUCCGGACUCCUACGGGAGGCAGCAGUGAGGAAUUUUGCGCAAUGGGGGAAACCCUGACGCAGCAACGCCGCGUGAGUGAUGAAGGCUUUCGGGUCGUAAAGCUCUGUCAGGUGGGAAGAACCCACCAAGUGUUAAGACCACUUGGUGCUGACGGUACCACCGAAGGAAGCACCGGCUAACUCCGUGCCAGCAGCCGCGGUAAUACGGGGGGUGCGAGCGUUAUUCGGAAUCAUUGGGCGUAAAGGGCGCGCAGGCGGUUUUGUAAGUCAGAUGUGAAAUCCCGGGGCUUAACCCCGGAAGUGCAUAUGAAACUAUGAGACUUGAGUAUGGGAGAGGGAAGCGGAAUUCCUGGUGUAGCGGUGAAAUGCGUAGAUAUCAGGAGGAACACCGGUGGCGAAGGCGGCUUCCUGGACCAAUACUGACGCUGAGGCGCGAAGGCGUGGGGAGCGAACCAGGAUUAGAUACCCUGGUAGUCCACGCAGUAAACGUUGAUCACUAGGUGUAGCGGGUAUUGACCCCUGCUGUGCCGGAGUUAACGCAUUAAGUGAUC